ensembl:snRNA U2 U2 spliceosomal RNA
AUCACUUCUUGGUCUUUUGGCUAAGAUCAAGUGUAGUAUUUUAGGUAUACAAUAUAAUGACAUUCAUCAUUGGAAAUUUGCACCUUUA